ACGCUCGACACCUACUGGAGGCAGCAGUGGGGAAUAUUGCACAAUGGGGGAAACCCUGAUGCAGCGACGCCGCGUGAGCGAAGAAGUAUUUCGGUAUGUAAAGCUCUAUCAGCAGGGAAGAUAAUGACGGUACCUGACUAAGAAGCUCCGGCUAAAUACGUGCCAGCAGCCGCGGUAAUCUGAGCGGGCUGGCAAGGC
rnacentral:rRNA from 1 species